rnacentral:tRNA from 1 species
UCUGAUAUGGCAGAUAAGUGCAAUGGAUUUAAGCUCCAUAUAUGAAGUUUUUCUUUUGUUAGAA